rnacentral:misc_RNA from 1 species
GACAAUGUUCUCCAUGGGCAAUGCCAUUUUUCCAUAUGUAAAGUUAAACUAAUUUUUUCAUUAUUCUCCUAUUUAAUAUUCUUCAAAAAAGAAAACAAAUUAUUUAGAGUCAGCCAUGUGAAGUCAUUGCAAGUACAUUUCACAAUGCCAAUAAACGAUUAGUAAAAUGGUCAAAAUGAAAUAUUUUGAUCACAAAUCAACAAUGCA